rnacentral:rRNA from 1 species
CCCUUAGAUGUCCUGGGCCGCACGCGCGUUACACUGAUGCAUUCAACGAGCUUAUAACCUUGGCCGAGAGGCCUGGGCAAUCUUGUUAACGUGCAUCGUGAUAGGGAUAGAUUAUUGAAAUUAUUAAUCUUGAACGAGGAAUUCCUAGUAAACGCAGAUCAUCAAUCUGCAUUGAUUACGUCCCUGCCCUUUGUACAAACCGCCCGUCGCACCUACCGAUUGGAUGGUCCGGUGAAGCCUCGGGAUUGUGGUUCUUGCCGCUUUAUUGUGGCGUGACCGCGAGAACUUGUCUAAACCUUAUCAUCUAGAGGAAGGUGAAGUCGUAACA